CUAGUUGUGCCUGCUGGUAAGUAAUUUUUUGGUAUGUUUUAAACGAUAGCCUUUAAAAACAGUUGUGUCUUUUAUAGAUUAUAUCGAUAAUGAUAUCGCGGGAUUUGUCUACAGUAGCAGAACAACGUUUCAGGGAUCAUUGCAAAGCAAGUUUUAGUGGCCGUAGCGAAAAUGCUUCCUUAAUUAUUAUGCCCCCAUCUCAAGCACGACGAUCUCUCGCUUUGUUUGCACAAACGCACCAACAAGAACUUUACCCUCGGCCUUCAUCGGAAAGAAAUGGCGCUCCAAGCAGGCUUCUGCAGUUGCUGAACUUUUGCGAUUCAUGUUCAUGCUAAUUCUUAGGUAUAUGUUUAUCAUGUAUACAAAUAAAUUUAAUAAUAAAUUAUUCAAAUUGA